rnacentral:SRP_RNA from 1 species
CCAGGGCCGAGACGCAGCGGCGCAAUCUCGCCGCGGCGUCCACCGGCGAGAUCGCUCGGGGUGCCAUCCAGGGCCG